rnacentral:rRNA from 1 species
UACGUAGGGGGCAAGCGUUGUCCGGAUUCAUUGGGCGUAAAGAGCGUGUAGGCGGCCAGGUAGGUCGGUUGUGAAAACUGGAGGCUCAACCUUCAGAGGUCGACCGAAACCAUCUGGCUAGAGUCCGGGAGAGGAGAGUGGAAUUCCUGGUGUAGCGGUGAAAUGCGCAGAUAUCAGGAGGAACACCAGUGGCGAAGGCGGUUCUCUGGGCAUUACCUGACGCUGAGGAGCGAAAGUGUGGGGAGCGAACAGG